UGGGGAAUAUUGCGCAAUGGACGAAAGUCUGACGCAGCAACGCCGCGUGGGUGAUGAAGGCCUUCGGGUUGUAAAGCCCUGUCGCCCGGGACGAACAAGUCGUCUAACUAACGACUCUGACGGUACCGGGAGAGGAAGCACCGGCUAACUCUGUGCCAGCAGCCGCGGUAAUACAGAGGGUGCUAGCGUUGUUCGGAAUUAUUGGGCGUAAAGGGCGCGUAGGCGGCCCUGUGUGUCGGGUGUGAAAGCCCACCUCUUAAAGGUGGAAUUGCAUUCGAAACUACAGGGCUGGAGUGUCGGAGAGGAUGGCGGAAUUCCUGGUGUAGAGGUGAAAUUCGUAGAUAUCAGGAGGAACACCGGUGGCGAAGGCGGCCAUCUGGACGACAACUGACGCUGAGGCGCGAAAGCGUGGGGAUCAAACAG
rnacentral:rRNA from 1 species